rnacentral:tRNA from 1 species
GCGGAUGUGGCGGAAUUGGUAGACGCGCUAGAUUUAGGCUCUAGUGGAUUCAUCCGUGAGUGUUCGAGUCACUUCAUCCGCA